GGAGUUUGAUCAUGGCUCAGGACGAACGCUGGCGGCGUGCUUAACACAUGCAAGUCGAGCGGUAACAGGACUUCACCGUUUCCUUGACACACCUAGCGCGAGUAUCGUAGGUGGAGAGACUUCGAGGGAACAGUGAAGUUGCUGACGAGCGGCGGACGGCUGAGUAACGCGUGGGAACGGACCCCAAACUGAGGGAUAACUACUCGAAAGAGUGGCUAAUACCGCAUGUGAUCUUCGGAUUAAAGGAUUUAUCCGGUUUGGGACUGGCCUGCGUACGAUUAGAUAGUUGGUAGGGUAAUGGCCUACCAAGUCGACGAUCGUUAGAUGGUUUGAGAAGAUGAUCAUCCAGACUGGGACUGAGACACGGCCCAGACCCCUACGGGAGGCAGCAGUAGGGAAUCUUUCACAAUGGGCGAAAGCCUGAUGGAGCAACGCCGCGUGCAGGAUGACGGCCUUCGGGUUGUAAACUGCUUUUAUAAGCGAGAAAUAUGAUGGUAACUUAUGAAUAAGGACCGGCUAACUACGUGCCAGCAGCCGCGGUCAUACGUAGGGUCCAAGCAUUAUCCGGAUUGACUGGGUGUAAAGAGUUGCGUAGGUGGCAGGGUAAGUAGAUAGUGAAAUCUGGUGGCUCAACCAUUCAGACUAUUAUCUAAACUGCUCCGCUCGAGAGCGUUAGGGGUAGCUGGAAUUUCUAGUGUAGGAGUGAAAUCCGUAGAUAUUAGAAAGAACACCGAUAGCGUAGGCAGGCUACUGGGACGUUUCUGACACUAAGGCACGAAAGCGUGGGGAGCAAACGGGAUUAGAUACCCCGGUAGUCCACGCCGUAAACGAUGGAUACUAGCAGUUUCGGGUAUCGACCCC
rnacentral:rRNA from 1 species